GUCUGGAGAGAUAUCGUCAUAAUUACCUUAAGUGCUUGUUUUUGUGGCCAUAUACACAUACUGUGUUUAUUACGUUGGAAUACAGUGUUGCUCUGCGAUAUUGCGGCUUUUGAGUGAUCAUUUUGAUUUUUACAGCAUACGCAUGAGUCCAAAUUUAGCGUCGCACAUCCUCAUUGUCGUAUCAAAAUGUGCCGCAACAUGCCAGACAGCACUAAGGUCAGCCGAAAGAGAUACAACAUACAAUAAUUUAGAAGAAGAAGCCGAGAAGGUCCCCAACUAAGCGUCAGUAAACGUUACUCCCAAAGGGCAGCUAUUGUUGUAAUGUCUUUGUUUUACUGCUCCAUAUUGCUGAAAGUAGCAGAUGUUUGAUUGCUUAUAAAUACCCUAACAUACAGUAUUUGCACAUUUCGGUUAGCCUGUCUAUGGCCUUUUGCAUUAUACUCUGUCAGCAGAAAGCGAACAGACUUUCUUUGGAAGACAGUAUAUAGUGUGGUUGGAAUGUACAGUGUGUAAUUCUCUUUUGUUUUUAUGUGUCACAGUUUUACAAAAAACUUGAACCAGGAAUGACAAAUGCGAGAAGCAAAAAGACUUUGCAUCUUAUUGGAAAUGGGUGUGAGAACAAGUGUGAAGGAAUAUUUUAAUAUCACACGUCUGAAGCACAGGAGUCAAACAGAUCAGAUGCAAGACGGGUGGAAGAGACCCACGCAAAGGGCCGCAGGUUAUCGGGUGCCGAUAUGUACAAUACAUUGCAAGAGUUUUCUGCAUUUCUCUGAAUAAAUAAUGCUGGAAUCUGCUUGGCAAGAUUGAA